UUUAUGUCCAUGUUGUCAUUCUUUAGGAUUCUGGCAUUCCUGUUGUUCUGGUUGAGAAUAGUGGGAGAUGUCAUAAGAAUGAAAGUGAUGAAAAGAUUCUGCCAAAUGGAACUGCUUGGAUCCCCAAUUUAGUCAAAACAAUCACAGAUGCUGUGUCAAAUGGAAGCAUGGGUAUUUUGGUUGACAAGAAGUUGAUUGACGGGCCGAACCCAAACGAGAGAGGAAAGUUACUCAUUCCUUUUAUUUUAGCCUUCCAAUACUUCUUUAUCGUGAAACGAAUUCAACGGGCGAUCAAAAGUGAUAUGGCAAAGGAGAGAAAAGCUCCAUGGGAGUCGCGGGAGGCCAACCGUUAUGAACCUUGAUCGUGGUAAAACUUUUUGGAAAGUGUUUUUGUUCCUUUUUGGUACUAGUUGUAAUACAAGUUAUCUCGGGAGCUUGAUUUUAUGUUUUGCGAGGUGGUUUUUGUGCACUCCUACUCUACUCAUGUAUUUUCAUCUGGAUAGUUGAGAUUUUCUUCAAGUUUCAUUUCUCAUCAACUGUUUUUACAUAAACCUUCCAACCCAAUAUGGUUAUCCCAUUUCA